rnacentral:rRNA from 1 species
AAAGCAGGGGAUCGUAAGACCUUGCGCUUUUGGAGUGGCCGAUGCCUGAUUAGCUAGUUGGUGGGGUAAGGGCCUACCAAGGCAACGAUCAGUAGUUGGUCUGAGAGGACGACCAGCCACACUGGGACUGAGACACGGCCCAGACUCCUACGGGAGGCAGCAGUGGGGAAUUUUGGACAAUGGGCGGAAGCCUGAUCCAGCAAUGCCGCGUGAGUGAAGAAGGCCUUCGGGUUGUAAAGCUCUUUCAGUCGAGAAGAAAAGGUUGCGACUAAUAAUCGCAACUUAUGACGGUAUCUACAGAAGAAGCACCGGCUAACUACGUGCCAGCAGCCGCGGUAAUACGUAGGGUGCGAGCGUUAAUCGGAAUUACUGGGCGUAAAGGGUGCGCAGGCGGCUCUGUAAGUCAGAUGUGAAAUCCCCGGGCUUAACCUGGGAAUUGCGUUUGAAACUACAAGGCUAGA